UACAGAGGUCUCAAGCGUUGUUCGGAUUCAUUGGGCGUAAAGGGCGCGUAGGCUGCGGGGCAAGUCGGGUGUGAAAUCUCAGAGCUCAACUCUGAAACUGCACUCGAUACUGCUUUGCUUGAGGACUGGAGAGGAGAUUGGAAUUCACGGUGUAGCAGUGAAAUGCGUAGAUAUCGUGAGGAAGACCAGUGGCGAAGGCGGAUCUCUGGACAGUUCCUGACGCUGAGGCGCGAAGGCCCAGGGGGAGCAAAACGGGG
rnacentral:rRNA from 1 species